UAAAACAAAAUAAUCAACAAAGAAAAAGGAAAGAAGAAAACUACAGAGUAUCGUAGCUUUCAUGUAACGUGAAAAUGCCUUCUUCCCAUAAGCACUUAUGAGAAGUGCUUUUUCAUUCUAAAAAAAACACUUAUUUUCAAAAGCCAUUCUCUCUACUCUCCUUCAUCAUGAAACACUAACAAAUAAUCAACUAAUUGAUUCACUCCUAAAGAAGGAGAAGGAAUUACCGGCGAAAAAUAUUAUGACGGAGUGACGGGAUUCCGGCAGGGGGCGUUUCCGGCGGGACGUUCAGUUUGUGGAGGCGGGGAAAUCGAGAUUGAGAGGUGCAGCGGAGCUUUGAGGUAACCGUGGAGGUGCGCGGUGGAGUUCCAAGGUUGUUCUCGCGUUUCCGUCAACAAAUCCGAAUGGUUUAAAAGAGGAUGAAAGUCCAGAUGAAAAAACAUUGGGUGUGAGUUCAGAAGAUGGAAGACUUAGUUGAGCAUUAAUGGAGUUUACAAUGGAAAAACCUUCAAUCAAGUUGAAAUUAAACCUGAAGUCUAACAAUGGCAUAGCUUUUGCUUCAUCUGAAGCCUUUAUGAAUGCAGUUGCAACUGAGAGCCAACUCAAGCAUUCAAAUGAUUCACUACUUGUAUUCUCUUUGAUCUCUGUAGUUCUGAAUGUCCUACUAAUAAAGCUAUAUGGGUCAAUUGGCUUGAUCAUGGCAAAUUCUCUUAAUAUGACUUUGAGGAUUUUAUAUUCCACGAUGUACAUAAAGGAUUAAUUUAAGGUAUGAUAAUUGGCUUUGAUUCAGCUGACCAUAAAUUGAUGCAAAUAUUAACACUGACUUUCAUAUGUGAUGGGUUAUUCUGUUACUUUCAAGUGUAAUUACUCUCGUUUCUGAGAAUGUAGUUUUGGACCAAGAUAAUUUCCGGCCAACAUUUAUGAUCCAUUCCUCUGUUGGGAUGGCUUGCUUCUGCGUGUCAUCAUAUGUGAUGUAUAUUCACGUUUCCUUUUAUUUUGACUUCUAAGAUCUUCUGUUGAAUACAAUUGUUUAUUUUUCACUUUAUUUUUUGUUAACAUACUAUUAUUUUUUAUCUUUUAGCUACUGCCGGGAAAAACCUUUCACCAAGAAAAUUAUUCGCUUUCGUGACCACUCUGAAUGAUGAACUCUGUAAGUUAACUCUGAGUUCAUGUCUCGCAUAAGGUCGGACUCAUGGCACCGAACAUCAUCCAGUCGUCCCAUGUCGGCCCCGAAAUACAAAAGAUGUUAUGGGCAUGUUAUUUUCUCUCUGGUCAAAUCUCCUAUGUCGAUUAUGUUUUGGAACAUUCGUACCUUCAACAACCUAAAGAGGACUCUGAUGUCACAGUUAAAGGGGGAGUAUAGUCCCGGAGAAGAAAUCAAAAGGAUCUAGAGGCUUAGAACAAGGGUGUCGCUUAUGACCGAAGAGACAAUACGUUGGUGGGUUGAUGUGAAAACCGACCUUGAUACUGAACAAAAAAUGGAUGGAACAGAUGACAUUGUUUUAACCGUUGUAAUUUCUUAGAUUUUAAUUGUUUGUUGUGUUGUUGUUUUAGUCAUUGUGUUGUUUAUUCAAUUGUUGAUUUUAGUUGAAAUUUUAUUUCUAGUUAUUGUUUAUGUUAUUUGUCAUGUGUGUUGUAACUCAUCUGACUAAUGAAAAAAAAAGUCCAUUUCAUUGGUAAAAUAAAUUACAAAUAACAUUGAACCUAACAACUAUGUUGUGGAAUUAGAUCCACGAUUGGGACACUUGUUCUUAUUAUGUCCUACCUCACAACAUAUACUACACUUCCUUUGCAUUUUUUCAGUGGCGUCCAUUUCGGUUCUAAUACGCUUGCUGUUUGGUCUACCGCUUUUAUUCCGGCGCAUUAAAUCGUUGUGCCAAACUGUUUCCCCUUCGUACACAGGCCAAUAUGACUCUAUCGCUACCACCAGAAAGUAAUUGUCGUAUACGUUGAGCAACGUUGAUACCUUGUAAAUGGGUGAUACCAAUGAUAAUGCAUCAACGUGAUUAUGUGAGCAUACUGCAAUGACAUGUGAGCAAGGCAUGCGAUACGCUUAAAAUUGGCCAUGAAGGUCGAACUCUAUAACUCGAUGAGUGUUUCCCUUGGCAGAUUCCUGUUGUACAUAUUUCAUGCAGACAUCGUUGUAUACCUGUUAUGUUUGUAACACAGAAUUCCACCGCUUACCUCUUGUGGCGAACAAAGUUGCCAUCCGAAAAUAUGUUGCACUCACCAAAACCGUUACAGGUAGGUUUCAUAUGCCCUUGAAAAUGUCAUUCAUUGAUUCCACAAGAUUUGUAGUCAUGUGGCCCCACCUCGCCCCAUCGUCGUAUGACCUAGUCCAUCUCGCUCUGUCAAUGCUGUCAAUCCACCUCCCCGCAUCUGGGUUUGACAACGCUAUUUCACGGCGGUAGUAUUGAAAUCCAGGUUGGUUUAAGGCAUACCCCGCAUUCACCAAAUGGUUCUUCAAAAAGUUUUCUUUGAUCUCUCGCAUAAAAUUUUGUGCGAUAUGCCUAAUACAGUAAACAUGCGUAGACGGGGGGUCGUGCCAACAAAUGGAAAACCAGUGUUUGGAAAUGUCCAACAACCCAAUGCUCUAUGGGAGAAAAUGUUGGGUGUAGAUUUAAUUGAGGGUGAGGGCCGAGAAAGAGGGAGAGGCCAAGGUAUUAAGCUAUCGGCCCUUAAAGAACGUUAUGACGCAAUUACGUUGGACCAGUUUUCUAACGAAAAAGAAAAAAUAAGUAAAGCUAGAAUUUAUAUUAUGUUAUUAUUUGGUAAGUUUCUAUUUCCCAAAGGCACGGGGAAUAGUGUAAAUUUUAUGUACUUGUCUUUGCUUGAGGACAUUGAUGAAAUCAAGACGUAUAGUUGGGGUUCUGCGGUGUUGGCUUACCUCUGCAGCUAGGGGUGUGCAUGGAUCAAAAACCAAACCAAAUUGAACCAUAUAUAUGGUUUGGUUUGGAUUUUAAAAC